rnacentral:rRNA from 1 species
GACGAACGCUGGCGGCGUGCUUAACACAUGCAAGUCGAACGGAAAGGCCCUGCUUUUGUGGGGUGCUCGAGUGGCGAACGGGUGAGUAACACGUGAGUAACCUGCCCUUGACUUUGGGAUAACUUCAGGAAACUGGGGCUAAUACCGGAUAGGAGCUCCUGCUGCAUGGUGGGGGUUGGAAAGUUUCGGCGGUUGGGGAUGGACUCGCGGCUUAUCAGCUUGUUGGUGGGGUAGUGGCUUACCAAGGCUUUGACGGGUAGCCGGCCUGAGAGGGUGACCGGCCCCAUUGGGACUGAGAUACGGCCCAGACUCCUCCGGGAGGCAGCGGUGGGGAAUAUUGCACAAUGGGCGGAAGCCUGAUGCAGCAACGCCGCGUGCGGGAUGACGGCCUUCGGGUUGUAAACCGCUUUCGCCUGUGACGAAGCGUGAGUGACGGUAAUGGUAAAGAAGCACCGGCUAACUACGUG